rnacentral:rRNA from 1 species
GACGAACGCUCUUUGGCGUGCUUAACACAUGCAAGUCGAACGGAAAGGCCCUGCUUUUGUGGGGUGCUCGAGUGCCCAACGGGUGAGUAACACGUGAUUAACCUGUCCUUGACUUUGGGAUAACUUCACGAAACUGGGGCUAAUACCGGAUAGGAGCUCCUGCUGCAUGGAGGGGGUUGAAAAGUUUCUGCGGUUGGGGACGGACUCGCCGCUUAUCACCUUGUUGGCGGGGUAGAGGCUUACCAAUGUUUUGACGGGUAGCCGGCCUGAGAGGGUGACCGGUCAUAUUGAUACUGAGAUACCGCCCAAACUCCUACAGGAGGCAGCAGUGGUGAAUAUUGUACAAUGGGUGUAAGCCCAAUGACACUACGCCGCGUGCGGAAUGACAGCCUUCGGGUUGUAAACCCCUUUCCCCUGUGACUAAAUCUUGAGUGAUCGGUAAUGGAUAAAGAAGCACCCGCCAAAUCCUUUGCUAUUCAACCAUCGUGAUACUAACGCUGCGAACGUUGUCUGAAUUUAUUGGUCGCAAACGGCUCGCUAGUGGUGGAUCACUUCUGAAGUGAAUUCCUGGUCGACUUAACGCAGUACAUGCUAUUAAAACCCGUUUGACUUAAGCAACGUACUGUAUAAUGGAAUACUUAGGGAAUCUAUGUAAUCCUUCUAUCUGACGAGGAUACCCAGGGGCGAAGGCGGUUCUCUGGGCCUUUCCUGACGCUGAGGAGCGAAAGCGUGGGGAGCGAACAGGCUUAGAUACCCUGGUAGUCCACGCUGUAAACGGUGGGUACUAGGUGUGGGGUCCAUUCCACGGGUUCCGUGCCGUAGCUAACGCUUUAAGUACCCCGCCUGGGGAGUACGGCCGCAAGGCUAAAACUCAAAGGAAUUGACGGGGCCCCGCACAAGCGGCGGAGCAUGCGGGUUAAUUCGAUGCAACGCGUAGAACCUUACCUGGGUUUGACAUGGAUCGGGAGUGCUCAGAGAUGGGUGUGCCUCUUUUGGGGUCGGUUCACAGGUGGUGCAUGGCUGUCGUCAGCUCGUGUCGUGAGAUGUUGGGUUAAGUCCCGCAACGAGCGCAACCCUUGUUCACUGUUGCCAGCACGUUAUGGUGGGGACUCAGUGGAGACCGCCGGGGUCAACUCGGAGGAAGGUGGGGAUGACGUCAAGUCAUCAUGCCCCUUAUGUCCAGGGCUUCACGCAUGCUACAAUGGCUGGUACAGAGAGUGGCGAGCCUGUGAGGGUGAGCGAAUCUCGGAAAGCCGGUCUCAGUUCGGAUUGGGGUCUGCAACUCGACCUCAUGAAGUCGGAGUCGCUAGUAAUCACAGAUCAGCAACGCUGCGGUGAAUACGUUCCCGGGGCC